rnacentral:rRNA from 1 species
GACAGAGGAUGCAAGCGUUAUCCGGAAUGAUUGGCGUAAAGCGUCUGUAGGUGGCUUUUAAGUCCGCCGUCAAAUCCCAGGGCUCAACCCUGGACAGGCGGUGGAAACUACCAAGCUGGAGUACGGUAGGGGCAGAGGGAAUUUCCGGUGGAGCGGUGAAAUGCGUAGAGAUCGGAAAGAACACCAACGGCGAAGCAACUCUGCUGGGCCGACACUGACACUGAGAGACGAAAGCUAGGGGAGCGAAUGGG